UACGUAGGGGGCAAGCGUUGUCCGGAAUUAUUGGGCGUAAAGAGCGUGUAGGCGGUUAGGUAGGUCCGUUGUGAAAACUCGAGGCUCAACCUCGAGACGCCGAUGGAAACCAUCUGACUAGAGUCCGGAAGAGGAGAGUGGAAUUCCUGGUGUAGCGGUGGAAUGCGCAGAUAUCAGGAGGAACACCGAUGGCGAAGGCAAUCCCCUGGGCCUGCACUGACGCUCAUGCACGAAAGCGUGGGGAGCAAACAGG
rnacentral:rRNA from 1 species